rnacentral:rRNA from 1 species
GACGAACGCUGGCGGCGUGCCUAAUACAUGCAAGUCGAACGCAGUGGGGACGGGUGAGUAACACGUUGGUAACCUCCCAUCAGAGGGGAUAACACUUGGAAACAGGUGCUAAACCGAUACUGAUGGAUGGCCCCGCGGUGCAUUAGCUAGUUGGGGAGGUAACGGCUCACCAAGGCCACGAUGCAUAGACGACCUGAGAGGGUGAGCGGACACAAUGGGACUGAGACAAGGACAAGACGCCUACGGGAGGAAGCAGUAGGGAAUAUUAGGCAAUGGACGAAAGUAUGACCGAGCAACGCCGCGUGAGUGAAGAAGGUUUUCGGAUCGUAAAACUCUGUUGUUAGAGAAGCGGUAUCUAACCAGAAAGCCACGGCUAACUACGUGCCAGCAGCCGCGGUAAUAC